rnacentral:rRNA from 1 species
UACGUAGGGUGCGAGCGUUAAUCGGAAUUACUGGGCGUAAAGCGUGCGCAGGCGGUUGUGCAAGACAGAUGUGAAAUCCCCGGGCUUAACCUGGGAACUGCAUUUGUGACUGCACGGCUGGAGUGCGGCAGAGGGGGAUGGAAUUCCGCGUGUAGCAGUGAAAUGCGUAGAUAUGCGGAGGAACACCGAUGGCGAAGGCAGUCCCCUGGGCCUGUACUGACGCUCAUGCACGAAAGCGUGGGGAGCAAACAGGAUUAGAAACCCUUGUAGUCC